rnacentral:snRNA from 1 species
UCAUGCUAUGGCUCUUUUAGAAUUCGUCUAGCAGGUCUUCCGGUUGCCACAGCAAAGCCACU